UACAGAGGGGGCAAGCGUUGUUCGGAAUUACUGGGCGUAAAGGGCGCGUAGGCGGCCCGCUAAGUCGAACGUGAAAUCCCCGAGCUCAACUCGGGAACUGCGUCCGAUACUGGUGGGCUUGAAUCCGGGAGAGGGGUGCGGAAUUCCAGGUGUAGCGGUGAAAUGCGUAGAUAUCUGGAGGAACACCGGUGGCGAAGGCGGCAUCCUGGACCGGUAUUGACGCUGAGGCGCGAAAGCCAGGGGAGCAAACGGG
rnacentral:rRNA from 1 species